rnacentral:lncRNA from 1 species
AAUUGAGACAAGAAAACAAAACAAAAACAAGUUUAUUAAAUAUCGAUGAAGGACGAGCGGCUAUAAUGUAUUUGGAUCAUUUCCGUCACACCCGAGUUUUCAAUUAGAGCAUAUUUAAAAGUUUUCCAACUUUUUGCUUGCAAAGAUGUGUUCUUACAUAAGCAUUUAAUAUUUUCAUUUCUGCCGGUUGGCGACAAAAUCAGUGAAAGAUUGCCAAGGUGCGCAGCAAACUAACGAGAUGGAAUCAGUUGCGAAAUCAUUGAUUGCGCAAUGAGCGCGACGAAAGACGGGCGAAGAGGAUGAAGGUAGUUCUUUUCAAGGAAGUAAAUUCAGACCAACGCCCUGAUUGCUAACGUAUAUAUAAGCCUGCAAUCCAUUGCAGAAUUGUGUGUUGCGCUAACCAAGUUUCCAUUCUUAACACAAACAAUAUGCGUUUCCUCGUCGUUUUCACUUUGCUUAUUGUCGCCUCGGCAUCGGCUGCACCCGCUUCCGCUGGUAGUCUGACUCAUUUACUGGGAAUAGAAUCCGCCUACAAACCUCUUCAAGUUGCAUACCGGCGGUACGACUUCACCAGCAAUCCUAGAUCGCCUCUCAAAUUCUUUCAUUCUGCGGAAUCCGCGGAAUCACGGGAACUGUACUUCGACUGACAAAAGCUGAUAACAAAAGAAGAGAAAAUGAAGUACGUCCUUUCCCUCCUUCACGGCCUUCGUCCCAAUCCGAUUUUCUAGGCUACUCCGGCACGCCCAGCAUAACCUUUUUCUCAUAAAAGUGAAUAAGGUUGAUAAGCAAAUCAGAACAGCCUCUUUGUUCCCAUCUCAGAUCCAUUUCCCGUUUCUGUGUUAAUGCAGAGCUGUCAAAUGAUGGAAAACAUUCAAGUCUUGUCUUGAAAUGCAAAUAAAAAUCCCAUUUGGCCAUUUA